CCAUGAUGAUGAUGAUGAGGAUGAUGAUGAUGAUGAUGAUGAUGAUGAUUAUCAUUAUCAUUAUCAUCAUCCUCACCACCACCA
rnacentral:pre_miRNA from 1 species